GGGGUUGUAGCUCAGUGGUAGAGCGCUUGCCUAGCAUGUGUGAGGCACUGGGUUUGAAUCUCAGCACCA
rnacentral:tRNA from 1 species